GCGUUAUCCGGAUUUAUUGGGUUUAAAGGGUGCGCAGGCGGAUCAAUAAGUCAGGGGUGAAAAAUUUCAGCUUAACUGGAAUCGUGCCUUUGAUACUGUUGGACUAGAGUAUAAUUGACGUGACUGGAAUGUGAUGUGUAGCGGUGAAAUGCUUAGAUAUGUCACAGAACGCCAAUCGUGAAGACAGGUCACGAAAUUAUUACUGACGCUCAUGCACGAAAGCGUGGGGAUCAAACAGGAUUAGAUACCCUGGUAGUCCACGCUGUAAACGAUGAUUACUCGUUGUUGGGCAGUGAUGCUCAGUGGCUAAGCGAAAGCGAUAAGUAAUCCACCUGGGGAGUACGAUCGCAAGGUUGAAACUCAAAGGAAUUGACGGGGGCCCGCACAAGCGGAGGAGCAUGUGGUUUAAUUCGAUGAUACGCGAGGAACCUUACCCGGGCUUGAACGUAAGACGAAUAUAUAAGAGAUUAUAUAGCCUUCGGGCGUCUUGCGAGGUGCUGCAUGGUUGUCGUCAGCUCGUGUCGUGAGGUGUUAGGUUAAGUCCUGCAACGAGCGCAACCCUUACACUUAGUUGCCAGCACGUUAUGGUGGGAACUCUAAGUGAACUGCCUACGCAAGUAGAGAGGAAGGUGGGGAUGACGUCAAAUCAGCACGGCCCUUAUGUCCGGGGCUACACACGUGCUACAAUGGUAUGUACAGAGGGCAGCCACCUGGUGACAGGGAGCUAAUCCUCAAAGCAUAUCUCAGUUCGGAUUGGAGUCUGUAACUCGACUCUAUGAAGUUGGAUUCGCUAGUAAUCGCGCAUCAGCCAUGGCGCGGUGAAUACGUUCCCGGGCCUUGUACACACCGCCCGUCAAGCCAUGGAAGCCUGUGGUACCUAAAGUCCGUGCCCGCAAGGAGCGGCCUAGGGUAAAACCGGUAACUGGGGCUAAGUCGUAACAAGGUAGCC
rnacentral:rRNA from 1 species